UACAGAGGUCUCAAGCGUUGUUCGGAUUCAUUGGGCGUAAAGGGUGCGUAGGCGGCGCGGUAAGUCGGGUGUGAAAUCUCGGAGCUUAACUCCGAAACUGCAUUCGAUACUGCCGUGCUUGAGGACUGGAGAGGAGACUGGAAUUUACGGUGUAGCGGUGAAAUGCGUAGAUAUCGUAAGGAAGACCAGUGGCGAAGGCGGGUCUCUGGGAUGAUGCUGACGCUGAGGCGCGAAAGCCAGGGGAGCAAACGGGG
rnacentral:rRNA from 1 species